UUCCUUCUUUGUUCCUGCCCCUAUGAAUAAGAGGGAAAAAUGAAAACCAGAUGUUCCUGUAUGCACACAGAAAAGAAGACUUGGGGAAAAUGGUUGGUUGGCAGAAGAACUGGAAGUGGACUUUGGGCUGAUGAAUAACUGAAUGAGAUUUUCUGAAACUCAAUCUUGCUUUACCUUCUUUGUCAGGCUACAAGGUGGAGGCAACACACAUACUCUUGUUUGGUCUUCCCAAUAAAUAUACAAAACUACUGUUCUUGCUCCAUAGUGAGUAAACAGAGGUCAUCUGACUUGUUGUCUGGCUUAGGAACACAAGUUAGUUUUAUGUAGCCUUCUUGUUGCGUAAGCCAUAAUAGUGAACGGAAGACUCAGAUAUUGGGAGCAUCUCAUCCUGGCUUCAAAUAUCAACUAAAGUUUGAAAUAAAGCACUAGUCCUUCAAUUUCAAUUUUAUCUUAUGAGUGUAUGUGUGUGCCUGAAUGUAUGUAUGUGCACUGUGUCCAUGCAGGAGCCCGCAUAAGUCAAAAGAGGGUGUCAGAGCUUCUGGUACUGGAGUUAUGGGUAGUUGUGAGCUGUGAUGUUAAAUAUGGUGACCCAAACCCAGGUCCUCUGGAAGGGUAGUAAGUGCUCUUACCUGCUCUUAACUGCUGAGCCAUCUCUACAGAUCAGAAACCCUGGUUGUUAAAAGUAAAUGAAAUUAACUCCUAAAGAAAAUGUCUAGGUGCUCAUAAAAGUGACAUAGGAAGCAGAGCACAGAAGGGAGAGUGAUGUGACCUGAAGUCUGAGGCACGGGAGAGGUCCAUAUGCUGCCCCUUUCACUCUGUAGAUGUGCAUGUUGUCAUCUAUCAUCCAGUGAUGCUUUAUUCUAGUAACUACUCCAGUUCAGCCACUGCCCCUGAAGGACGGGACUGAUAGUGCCAUGAACCAUAGGCUAAACAGCUGCUGUACUGAAAAGCUAACGGGUCCUUCCUAUUAACAUUUUCAUCAGGACUCAGAAACCAUUUGCCUGUAAAUCACAGUGCGUACAGUUUUGCAUUUUAUUUACCAGCUGCUUGUUGCUUACAAUCUGAGUCAUGUGUGUGUUUGUGUGUGUCUGUGUCUGUAUGUGUGUACAUGCAUGUUUGCAUGUGUGUAAUUAUGUGGAGGAUGUUGUAUGCUCUCUCUCUCUCUCUCUCUCUCUCUCUCUCUCUCUCUCUCUCUCUCUCUGUUGAUCUCUCAUUUGUUUUUGUUUUGUUUUGAGACAGGGUUUCUCUGUGCAGCCCUGGCUGCUCUGGAACUUGUAGACCAGGCUGGCCUCGAACUCACAGAGAUCCACCUGCCUCUGCCACCUGAACACUGGGAUUAAAGGUGUAUGCGACCACUACCUAGCUGCUGUGUGUCUUUUUAAAUCACUUUCUUUUUUUUUUUUUUUUUUUUUGGUUUUUCGAGACAGGGUUUCUCUAUAUAGCCCUGGCUGUCCUGGCUGUCCUGGCUGUAUUGUGCAGGGUCUCUUGAUAAACCCAGAACUUGUUUUGGCUAGUCCUGGUAGCCAGUUUAUCCUGGAAUUAUGAGUGAGGCACCAUGCCUGCUGACACUCAUGUGGGUUCUCAGGAUUCAAAUUCUGGUCUUUGUGCUUGCAUGGCAAACUUCUAUCUGCUGAGUCACCUACCCAGCCCCAUCAAUGGUUUUUGUUUAAAUUUAUCUAUUUUAUUUUAUAUGUAUGCCUUGCAUGCAUGUCUGUGCACCACUUGUGUUCAGUGCCUACAAAGGUUAGAAGGCAACAUAGGUACCCUUGGAAUUGGAGUUAACAGAUGAUUGGGAACCACCAUGAGGUUGCUGGGAACUGAACUCACUGAGCCAUCUCUCCAGCAUCAUCUUCCCAUCAGUCAUUUUUAUUAAGCAAAAGUCAGAUAUCAAUUUUUGGAAUUCUUUUGGCAUGUUGGAAUUAUGAAGCCACAUUACAUGAGAUAUUUUUUUGUCGUCUUCUGGAAGUUUUCUUGUACAUAUCUACAUAUGAAACAUGAUUGUAGCAAGGUUUAUAUUCAACAGCUUUUGUGAUGAAAGGGAUUCCCUAUCUUUUUUGUUUAUUUUUCACCUUUAGUUUAUUUACUUAUUUAUUCAUUUAUUUAUUUAUUUAUCUAUCUAUCUAUUUAUUUAUUUAUUUAUUUAUUAAGACAAGGUUUCUAUGUGUAGUCCUGGCUGUUCUGGAUCUCACUCUGUGGACCAGGCUGGCCUCAAACUCAGAAAUUCCCCUGCCUCUACCUUCUAAGUGCUGGGAUUAAAGGCAUGUGCCACCACUGCCCGGCUGCUUAUUUAUUUUUAAAUGGAAACAAAAUUCCAAAUCUCCUUUCACAGGGGACAGGCAGAGCAGUAAUCUGUAUACAGGGAUUAUCUGGGGUAGUGUUGAUAAUCUGGGAAGUUAUUGUUGAUAGCAUACUUAUUUUGUAUAUGAAAUUUUAUGUUCAAACCAACUUUUAAGCCUGGGAAUGACUUUUAUAAUGAAUGUACCAUAAUUUUAAAGACUUGUUCAUGUGGCUACUUCCAUUUUAUCCAUGGAAUGUAAUUUACCAGGCACAUAUUUUCCAGCAACAAUGACAUGUGGAGGUGGAGUCCACUCCAUGUGUCAGGCCUGCAGACAGCAGCAGGCACGUGUAAGUUCUUAGUUCAUUCCUCACUAAGCUGAUUACCUAGUGCAGAUCUGAUCUGACCUCAAAAUCUGCCAGACAACAGAAGGCUGUCCCUGCAGCCUGCUGCGUCAGGGAACAGGGAUUAUGUCCUCAGAGGAUGUGCUUCAACGUUAUCCUCCAAGUAACUGGACCAUAGUUCUCAGGAGUUUGCCUUCUUAUUGACUCUUCUUGUCUGGUUUUUGUUUUUGUUUUCUAUUGUCUUUCUUCCCUUAGAGGAACAGUGGAAUGUGAUAGAAGAUACCUGAUACUCUCCUCUUCUGGUCUUUGCACAGUGUACACAGGUAAAUACACUGGGCAAAUAUGCACAUGUGCAGAUACAUCCACAAACCCGUUAUUGAGUUGGAGUUUGAGGCUAGCCUGGACUAUAUGGUACUAGUGAGGUCAUCAAAGCAACAUAGUUAGUUACAUCUUGUUUCAGAAAAAAAUUAAGUUCAUAUGCUUAUUCUAUUUAUUUAUUUAUUUAUUUAUUUAUUUAAUUAUUUAUUUAUUUAGGUUUUUCAAGACAGGGUUUCUCUGUGUAGCUCUGGCUGUCCUGGAACUCACUCUGUAGACCAGGCUGGCCUUAAACUCAGAAAUCCGCCUGCCUCUGCCUCCCGAGUGCUGGGAUUAAAGGCGUGCACUGCCACACCCAGCUCUAUUUUUAAUACCUGUAUAUACCCUGUAACAUUUUAAAUAUUCAGGACAUACCAGUAAUUAUCAAAAGCAUCUAAACAAGGGGGACGUUCAUCAGCAGUGCGCUCUAAGUGUGGAAAGGCUGCAGGCUGGAGCUCACUCUAGAGCAAGUCAUGCUUUAUGCUUAUGUGGAACAACUGAGGGAAUCUGUGCUGGGCAGAAAGGUACGUUUAACAAGUGUUUAUAGCCAUUAUAAAUCUGCUAAAUCAAAGCACAAAAUGCUGCUUUUCAUGGUUCCAUAUUAACCCUGAGGCUGCAAAGUGGGCUUUCUUCUUUGGUCCACUGUUUGAAUGUGCAGAUUGUUUCUGAAGCAAAUGAAAUCACAUGAGUCAUUUUAGUUAAGAAACAUUGGAAUGACAUCAUGGAUAGUCUCAAACACUUUGAAACAGCUUUAGCCUGCAUUGUUUCUACAGCGACUGAAAGGAAAGGAACGACAAAUAGCCACACAUUCUUUUCUUUCUUUCUUUUUUGUUUUUGUUUUUUCGAGACAGGGUUUCUCUGUGUAGCCUUGGCUGUCCUGGAACUCACUCUGUAGACCAGGCUGGCCUCGAACUCAGAAAUCUGUCUGCCUCUGCCUCCCGAGUGCUGGGAUUAAAGGCGUGCGCCACCACUGCCCGGCUAGCCACGCAUUCUUAACUGCCCUGUGUUGGAAGUACUUGUAGCUAAUUUGCCACUGUACCAUUUGGCAAAAUGGCAGCAUAUUUUCAAUUCCAUAAGUGUUACAUGAUUAAGACAUGUAAUGAAGACCUUCAGAUCUGUAAUUUUAUUCUUAUGUAUGAAUUCAUGCCUUUAUGUACUAUUCAUACAUAUGAGUGCAGGUAUACAUAUAUUUAUGUAUUCUUAAUAUGUGUACAUGUGUGUAAGCAUGAAUAUGUGCUUGGGAUGAUAGAGAUAGUGACUUGUCAAUAGUGAGAAAAGUGGUUUAUUAAAAACAAUCAGGCAAAUAUUGCCUUGAAUCCCUGAUCUUCCUGAUUCACCUAUUUAGUACUGGGAUUUUAGGCAUAUACUGCUAAGCCCAGGUUUUGAUCUAUGGUUUCUUUUCCCUAAGUAUGUGGCUAUCCUUUUGCUCAAGUAUGUGGUUUGUGUGUACAUGUAUGAAUGUUUGCAUGUACGUCAGUAUACAUAUCUAUGCAGAUAUGCUUACAGACGUGUGUGGAGGUGCCUUCCUUGGUUGUUCUACACUUUAGAACCAAGAGCUUAAAAAUUCUGGUUAGCUGGCUUGAUCUGGAAAUGCCUUCUCCACCUUUUGAAUCCUGGAAUGGGCCACCACACUCAUCCAGCAUUUAUAGGAGUUCUAAGGAUUUGAACUCAAGUCCUCAUGCUUACGUGACAAGUGUUUUACUUACUAUUCUUUUUGAGAUGGGGGUAGUCUCACAAAACAGUCUUGUCUGGAACUCGCUAUGCAGAUCAGGAUGGCCUCGAAUUUAUAGAGAUCCAUUUGCCUCUGCCUCCCAAGUUCUGGGAUUAAAUACAUGCACCACCACACAAGCUAGAAUUACUUUUUUUUUUAAUUGAAAAAUAUGCACUUAUUUAUUGAAUCAGAGAUAGCAAGCAAAUAUGAACAUAUAAUUUGGCAUGUAUGUGGAGGUGAGGAUCAGGACAUCUUACAGGAGCCAGUUCUUUUCUUCCACCAUUUGGGAGCUGAUGACUGAACUCAGGCUAAUCAGCCUUGGUGAUAAGUGCCUUUGUUGAGCCAUCUUAUUAGCUACUGGGAUGAUGAUGAUGAAGAAGAAUUUUUUUGUAAAGCAUAAAAUGAAUGGCAUUACAAGGAAACUGACUAAAUUGAAAUAUUAAUCAUCAAAUAUUUUUAAAGCCUGUAAUAUUCAUUCAUAUGCUUCAGUGAUAUAUUAAAUGACCAGAUCCAAUGACAGAUCAUUUGGCUACCAAGGCUUUGAAGCUGUGAAUAUAAAUCAUAUUUUGAGAUGGACACAACCAUAAGGUAACUGGAGACAGAAUCUAUGCUUCUGGUGCUAAGCAUAGGUCUGCUAAAGCUAUUGCAGUUGCUGAUUGUGCUAAGAAGUGAUCCACAUGCUACAUCUUGGUUAAUAAUCAAUGUGUAUUUUUCUUCCCAUUCAAGUUCAGGGUCUGCUAGAGAGAGAGGAUGAAGACCCUUGGGUUAGGUACUACCCCCCUCCAUUAGCUUGGACACAGACAGCCUUAUUUGUCUCUACACUGGCAGUUCUUGAUACAGUGUCUGGUAUAGAUUCAUUCUCCAAAAACCAUUGUCUGAUUAAACAAAACAGAAAGCAAAUCAAGUGCUUGUGAAGACUCCAAUGACUUCCUGUCUCUUACCUUGCUAGGUCCUCAGUAACUGCCAGGAGAAUUGUAUUUUGUGAUUUUCUUUCUUUUCUUUUUCUUUCUUUCUUUCUUGUUUGCUUGCUUUUCUUUCCUUUUCUGAGUCAGACAGCAUUUCUCUAUGUAGCUCUAGUUAUCUAUCCUGGAAUUUACUGUGUAGACCAAGAUGGCCUCAAGCUCACGGAUAUCCACCUGCCUCUGCUUUCCAAAUGCUGGGAUUAAAGGCGUGCACUAAAAAGCCUGGCUGUACUUUGUGCUUUUCUGUUGAAGAAGCUGGGACUCAGAGAGCAGGGCACCAGAUGCAGAAGAGUCUAAGUGAACUCAGGUUUGUUUGAUUCCAAAGUUCAUGCUUGUGCCACUCUCUGCUCUAGGUUCAGAUGAUACACAGUGAAUUUAUUUCAGACCCUGGCAUGGCUUGUUGUUUCUCCCUGUCCUCUUCUUCUCUGGGCCUUAUGGACCAUCAGUCUCAGGUUUCCAUGCACUGUUGACAAGAGAUCAUCUACUGAGCUGCACUCACUUAAAAA